rnacentral:rRNA from 1 species
CCCCUAGAUGUCCUGGGCUGCACGCGCGCUACACUGAUGUGUCCAGUAAGCACCUAACCUCUUCCGAAAGGAACGGGUAACCUUUGCAAAGCACAUCGUGAUGGGGAUAGAUUAUUGCAAUUAUUAGUCUUGAACGAGGAAUUCCUAGUAAGCACAAGUCAUCAGCUUGUGUUGAUUACGUCCCUGCCCUUUGUACACACCGCCCGUCGCUCCUACCGAUUGAAUGUUCCGGUGAGCUCUUCGGACUGCGCGGUCUGCAGUUUCUGCGUUCCGUGCGGAAAGUUGCGCAAACCUUAACAUUUAGAGGAAGGAGAAGUCGUAACA